UUUUUAUAUAUAACUAAGAGAUCCAGAAAAUCAUGUAAAUAAAGUGGAAAAGCGUUGGGAUGUCAUGCUUUCUCUAAGAUCAAGUUGAUUAAAGGGUUGGGAUGCCAUAUAUGAUACAGCACAAAAUUUUGGUUUUUCUAUAUGAUUCUGAUUAUGGUCAGAAAAUAAAAGAAUUUGAUCCGAGUAUUUUAUACUGUUUUGCUCUUCCUGAUGCUCUUUUUUAUGUCAGAAAACUAUCUCACAAGAUCUGGAGUUGGAAUUGCUUUUUGCGGGCAUGUCUCUAUGAACUGAACCUUUCAAGGCAAUGCGUAUGUGGAAGCUGAAAGUAUUGAGAAUGGUAUUGGUGUUGUGAAGCUAAUGGGAUACUACAGUGGUUUCAUAGCCAUGUUUGCUACACUUGCCAUUCAAGAUGUGGACUGUUGUUUGAUGCUAGAGUCCCCCUUCUUUCUUAAAGGAUGAUAUGAUCUUUUUGUAAUUAUUGAAAAAUAACUAAAAGAAGAUGUACAUAUGGUUAUUGCGAUCGCUGAGGGAGCAGGACAAGAUCUUCUUUCAGAGAGGUUGCAAUCCAUGAACCAACAAGAUGCUUCAGGAAACAAGUUACUUAAAAGAUGUUGGGUUAUCGAUAUCUCAGAGGAACAAGCAAGUUCAUAAUAGGAAGUUGCGAUACAAAGCUCCUAGAACUGCUGGAUUGUAAAGAUUGCUCGACUCUUGGGCAUUGUAUUCUUAUGUAAGGUCUUCAGAUAUUCUAGAAUUGUGCUUUAAUCGAUUUCCCAAGCUUGAAACUUUGUGCAUGUGUAAGUUAAUCGUCUUUUUUUUCUUCUUCCCAAUUUUGGUUGUAUCAGGAUUUAAUCUUAUUCCAGUGAGUUGUUGAUUGGUGGAAUUUUGGCUCAGUCUCAAUUGAUGCUUGGAUAUGGCGUGAGGUGUUGUAGUAACUAGCCAAGGAUUAAAGCUGAAAGUUCUCUUCCUAUGUAACGUCAACGUCUGCAUGUUACCAAGUUUAGAUGAAUGCUGACUUGAAUGCAGUUCAGCUUCGAUGGAAAGAAGUUGUUUACUUAGGUGUUGAAUAUCAAUUGGUUUCAGAACCAACCAAGUAGGAAUGACGAGCUUGAAGAAACAAUGAAAUCUGUACUUAUCAACGAGAUAGCAACUCCAGCGCCAGCAUUUUGUGCAGCCGCAAUGACUGCUGGUAACUAAUAGUUUGGAUCAACUCCAACAUUUUGUACAACUACAAUUGGAGCAGGCACUUUUUAACUGAUGCAGCUAAACCUGUUGUACAACUAGCAUUUCUAAACCAACUCCAGUGGCAACUUUUUUAACCUAUUUUUUUAAUACACUCUUGUUAGGUUAACCUUUUUGUAUAAAAAAAUCUUUUACUGUUUCACUUCUAUU